ACAAGCAGCGGAGCGUGUGGUUUAAUUCGUUGCUACACGAAGAACCUUACCUGGGUUUGACAUAUAGGUUGUAGGGAACUGAAAGGGACCGACCCUUCGGGAGCCUAUACAGGUGUUGCAUGGCUGUCGUCAGCUCGUGUCGUGAGAUGUUCGGUUAAGUCCGCUAACGAGCGCAACCCUCGUCGUAUGUUAUAUGUGUCAUACGAGACUGCCGGUAAAAAGCCGGAGGAAGGUGAGGAUGAUGUCAAGUCAGCAUGACCUUUAUAUCCAGGGCUACACACACGCUACAAUGGUCUGUACAAUGGGUAGCCAAGCCGCGAGGCGGAGCCAAUCCUGAAAGCAGGCCUCAGUUCAGAUUGCAGUCUGCAACUCGACUGCAUGAAGCCGGAGUUGCUAGUAACCGCAGGUCAGCAAUACUGCGGUGAAUACGUUCCCGGGUCUU
rnacentral:rRNA from 1 species